rnacentral:lncRNA from 12 species
AUGCCGCGUGUCUUCCGUGCGCUUCAGACGCCGCUGAUCAUCGCUAUAUCCGCGUGUGCGAUCAGGCCUGCAGCUCGCGCUAUUGUUCGCGAUGACGAUGAGGAUGAUGGCGGUGAUGAUGAAGCGCAGCGGAGUCUGGAAGCGCAUGGAUGUCUCACCUGGCUUGACGAAGGUUCUCUGCGAGUGGAAAUCACUGACAUGCAAGUACCACCUGAACUGAAGCACGCAUUUGAGAAUGAGAACUUGACGAAGUUCUGGAUUGACUGCAUUGAUACUGAUAAACUCCCAAAUGCAAAAAGACUGGCAGUUUGUUCAGAUCAAUGUAUACCUGCGAAUCCAGCUUCUCUCACAAGAAUAGUCGUGCUUCGUUGACAAACGAGCGUCUGCAUCACUGUUUGCGGAUUGCCCUCACUUCAUAUGAAGCGUCCUUCUCCAUCCUGGCCCAAUCAAAGAAAUGAGCAGCUUUCUAUCAGUGUUUGUGAUUUGUGAGAGAUAAAGAAAACUUGAUACUGAAUAUUGUAUUUGUGGUUAAUUGAUGUCCCCUGUCAGUAUAUGAAAUAGUCGACUGAAGAUGGACAAGUAAACAGAACACAGGAAGAUUAUUAAACUCUAUUGGAAAUGUUGAGAUCUUAUUUGGUUGAAUUGUGACAUGAAAUAGGCCAAAUGCAUAUGUUGCCUUAUGUGCACGGAAUAUGUUUCAAAUAUAGAUGUUUACUUUUAGGACAGUUUCACAGCUUGCGUAACAAAUAAUAUUAUAUUUGCUUAAUUACAUAAAGAGUUUCUGUAGCUUUUCAAUGUGAAAUAAUAAUUUUAAGAGUUUAAGAGAGUUUUAAAUUUUCCGAUAAAAAUCUGUAUUUGAUAAUACAAAUAGUGCAGAAUCUUACAUAUUUCUGAAGCAUUUUGUCAUAAAUUGUUUUUUAAACUUUUCUGCCCCAAGACUUCCUUUUGUUUAGAAAACGACACCAAGUCUCUCCUGUGAAGCAGAAGCUAAUGUUCUUCUUACUAGAACCAGGAAGUAUGACCAUAUUAGACCGGUUCUGUCAACACUGCACUGGCUCUCUAUCAAACAUUGUAUAGAUUUUAAAAUCUUGCUUAUUACUUAUUAAUAGAUUUUAAAAUCUUGCUUAUUACUUAUUAUUUAGCCUAUUGUUAAUAAACUUAUGUACUUAUGUUUUUUGUAAAAUUAUGUAAUUUCUGUGUUUAUCUCCAUUAAUGUGAGUGGAGUAUUUAAUGUAAAUGUGUAUAUCGACAUGAAAACAGAAUUUAAAAUCGCUGUUUACUUAAUUGGUUUUCUCACUCCAGGAAAAACAGUUUGUAUGC